GAUGAACGCUGGCGGCGUGCUUAACACAUGCAAGUCGAACGGAAAGGCCCAAGCUUGCUUGGGUGCUCGAGUGGCGAACGGGUGAGUAACACGUGGGUGAUCUGCCCUGCACUUUGGGAUAAGCCUGGGAAACUGGGUCUAAUACCGGAUAGGACCAUCGUUUAGUGUCGGUGGUGGAAAGUUUUUCGGUGUGGGAUGAGCUCGCGGCCUAUCAGCUUGUUGGUGGGGUAAUGGCCUACCAAGGCGUCGACGGGUAGCCGGCCUGAGAGGGUGUACGGCCACAUUGGGACUGAGAUACGGCCCAGACUCCUACGGGAGGCAGCAGUGGGGAAUAUUGCACAAUGGGCGCAAGCCUGAUGCAGCGACGCCGCGUGGGGGAUGACGGCCUUCGGGUUGUAAACUCCUUCCGCCAAGGACGAAGCGUUUUGUGACGGUACUUGGAGAAGAAGCACCGGCUAACUACGUG
rnacentral:rRNA from 1 species